rnacentral:sRNA from 1 species
CGCAACCCUGUACGACUACUACAACCCCGAGCGCAGAUGUUCUGUGUUUUACGGGGCACCAAGUAAGAGCAGACUCUUGGCCACCUUGUGUUCUGCUGAAGUCUGCCAGUGUGCUGAGGGUGAGACUGAGGGCCUGGGGCGGGGCAGUGGAGUCGGGAUGGCCGGGGCACCCGCACUGUCUGAUGGGGCCCCCAACUUCAGGGAAGUGCCCUCGCCAGCGUCGCGCCCUGGAGCGGGGUCUGCAGGACGAGGAUGGCUACAGGAUGAAGUUUGCCUGCUACUACCCCCGUGUGGAGUACGGUCAGUCUUCCCCCGAGGCCCUGGCCUGACCCUCCCUCGGGACCGGCUGUUUUGGUCUCUCCGGGUGUAGCCUGCUCCUCUUACAGGUCAUGCACAUAGCCUGUUUGCUCUGACACCACUUCCUACCUUCAGCCUCAAACUCACCUUUCCCCCUUCUCCUCACCCACUCUUAGGCUUCCAGGUUAAGGUUCUCCGAGAAGACAGCAGAGCUGCUUUCCGCCUCUUUGAGACCAAGAUCACCCAAGUCUGCACUUCAGUAUGAAGCAAACCGGAGAGGCGGGCAGGGCUGGGGGGAGACAGGGAGGCUGAGGUGUGGCCGAGGACCUGACCAUCUGGAAGUGUGAAAAUCCCUUGGCCUGUCAGAGGCCUUGGACUUGGCCAUAAAUAGGGAGGCAGUGGCACCUCUCCAUGGGGGUGGCGAAGGUGGAAUGAGAGGAUCUAUACAGAGCCCCAGCCUGGGCUCACCCUGCACCUUCUCUCCCUCUGACCGCUUUUGCGCACAUCAUCCCCGCAGCCAAGGAUGUCAAGGCCACUGCUAAUCAGAUGCGCAACUUCCUGGUUCGAGCUUCCUGCCGCCUUCGCUUGGAACCUGGGAAAGAAUAUUUGAUCAUGGGUCUGGAUGGGGCCACCUACGACCUCGAGGGACAGUGAGUCAUC